AAUAUUGUAUCUGAAAAUUAGGUCCUAAUGAAAACUAUGAUCUAUUCCUGCUUAAUGGUUAUUAUUUUGAAAAGGUACUUUUAGUCUGACAAAGAAGUCUCAUUGGAACUGAUAUUAUAGUUUAUUGAAGAUGAAUGUGGUAGAUAUCUAUCAAAAAUUACAAGCUGUCUAUUUUCAAAAUGUAACAUCUGCUUUAUGCUAGCUGGACUGAGGGUAGAAAUUGUGUUUUGGAUUGGAAAGGUUUCCCACCCCUGAACUAAGUGUUGGAGCUCAUUAUGACAAUCCUCAUUCAGAGUUAUUGUAAACAAUUACUAAUUAUAACUUUAAUGUUAGAUUAAUUUUCACAUCAAAUAAACUGCUGUAUUUAAGUUA